UACGUAGGGACCAAGCGUUGUUCGGAUUCACUGGGCGUAAAGGGUGCGUAGGUGGUGAGGUAAGUCGGAUGUGAAAUCUCCAGGCUCAACCUGGAAAUGGCAUUGGAAACUACCUUGCUAGAGGGUUUGAGGGGGGACUGGAAUACUUGGUGUAGCAGUGAAAUGCGUAGAUAUCGGGAGGAACACCAGUGGCGAAGGCGACUACCUGGCCUGUUCUUGACGCUGAGGCGCGAAAGCUAGGGGAGCAAACGGG
rnacentral:rRNA from 1 species